GAAGGAGCUCCGCUGUUUAAGAGCAUUUUGUUCCUGACGUUUUAAAGCAUAGGUGACAGCUCUCAAUCCGUGGGUUGUCAUCCUCACCUCCAGAAAACCACAUUUCUUAUUGUUUGUGGCACCUAAGUCCCCUUCUCUAGAACUCCCCCUGUGGAAGCGAGCCUUCGGCAGAAUCUCAGAUCCACAGAGCCGGGGCCCCCACCGUCAGCUCUACCAUUUGUACCCAGACUUUUGAUAUUGAGAACAUGUUUUAUACGGUGUAUGUACUACCACUAAAAUGAAGAGGAAAAAGCUGCAAAAAAUGGCCUCAGAAUCGUUUGGUUUCGGAGUUCACUGGCGUUAAUUGUCCCACGGAUGCUGAUGAAAUGUGUCUGUUGACGUUUGGGAUAGACGGGAUGCAGACGGAGAUGAGAGAAUUCAGCUACCUCCCACCUCGCAAAAAGCAAAGCAGAUGGUUCAUCCUGACGGACCAGCAGAACUUAGAGGAGCCAAAGCCCCAAAGACAGAGCUGUUCCUAGAACCGGGGAAUUUAGCCGUCCUUCUAGUCCUCCCUUCUGUCAGCCUCAUCCGCAGGACCACUGGCAAGGCUGAUUUCGAAUGAAUCAUCCUCGGCA
rnacentral:lncRNA from 1 species